rnacentral:rRNA from 1 species
UACGAAGGGUGCUAGCGUUGUUCGGAAUUACUGGGCGUAAAGCGCGCGUAGGCGGCUUAUCAAGUCAGGGGUGAAAUCCCGGGACUCAACCCCGGAAUUGCCCUUGAAACUGAUAAGCUAGAGUGUCGGAGGGGAUAGCGGAAUUCCUAAUGUAGAGGUGAAAUUCGUAGAUAUUAGGAGGAACACCGGUGGCGAAGGCGGCUAUCUGGACGACAACUGACGCUGAGGCGCGAAAGCGUGGGGAUCAAACAGG